rnacentral:lncRNA from 1 species
AGGCGCGUGGGGACGGUCCCGAGGCCGCAGGCAGGCAUCUUCGUCGCCCUCCAUGUAUAUACGACGGCGAGGAGGAUCAGGAGAAGCAGAAACGGAGCGACUGCCAGAGAAACGGAAAACCUGAGAAGGAGAGAUGAAUGGGGGAGAACGGAUCAGGGACCAUUGACCUUGGAGGAGGUGGCCAUCGAGUUCUCUCAGGAGGAGUGGGCCUGCCUGGACCCUGCCCAGAGGGCCUUGUACAGGGACGUGAUGCUGGAGACCUACAGGAACCUGCUCUCCCUGGGUGAGGAUGUCUUACUCCAGAAGUUGGGGUCUGCCCUUGGAUAUCUUUUCAUUUUCCUUGUUUGCUUUUCACCUGCCUUGCUUAACUGAGCUCAAAGUCCAGUGGACUCAGGUAUGAAAAGCUUCCUGAUGUAGCACCAGGAGUUUCAGCAUAUGCCUUUUCUUGAGAUGAUCUGCCCGCUUCAUGUUACACCAGAAAUUUUUCUAGUGCUAAAUGUUUGUUUGUUUGUUUGUUUUUUGCUUCUUAGGACCACACUCUCAGCAUAUGGAGGUUUCCAGGCUAGGGGUCCAAUCGGAGCUGUAGCCUCCGGCCUACACCACAGCCACAGCCACAGCAAUGCGGGAUCCAAACCGUAUCUGCAACCUACACCACAUCUCAUGGCAACACCAGAUCCUUAACCCACUAAGGCCUGAGAUCGAACCUGCAACCUCAUGGUUCCUAGUCUGGUUUGUUUCUACUGCACCACAGUGGGAACUCCAGCUGCUGUUAAUACAUGUCCUUUAUUGUGUUGCAGUAGCUUUGUCUUUGUUCCUACUUUAUUAAAGUAUUUUUAUCUUGAAAGCCUGUUGGUUUUUGUCAAAUGCUUUUUACAACAUCAAUUGAGACCAUCAUGUAAAUUUUUUAGUUUCCUUCUGUUAAUGUAUUUGUUUUACAUUGAAAGUUUUCAUAUAUUGAACCAUCCUUAUAUCUCAUGGACAUAUUUUUCUUUGUUAUCGUAUGUAAUCCUUUUAAUUGUAUGUUAAUUUUAGUUUGUUGUUGUUUUAUUGAUGCUUUUUGCAUCAUUAUUCAGUAGAGGUUUUUUUUUUUUUUGGUCUUUCUGCCAUUUCUAGGGCUGCUUCUGUAACAUAUGGAGGUUCCCAGGCUAGGGGUCCAAUCGGAGCUAUAGCCACAGGCCUACACCACAGCCACAGCAGCAUGGGAUCCGAGCCACAUCUGUAACCUACGCCACAGCUCACGGCAACGCUGGAUCCUUAACUCACUGAGUGAGGCCAGGGAUCAAACCCGCAAUCUCAUGGUUCCUAGUCAGAUUCAUUAACCACUGAGCCAUGACGAGAACUCCAAUAGAGAUUUUAGUCUCUGGUUUUCUUAUACUGUCUUUGACUGGAGUUGGUAUUAGAUUAAUUCUAGUGUCACAGAGUUUGAAACUGUUCCGUUUUGUUUGUUUUGGGGG